rnacentral:sRNA from 1 species
GACUUGUACAGUCCUUCAAAUUUAGCAAUACAAGAUUGUUGAGACAUCCAAUAGAAUGGUGUACUUUGCGCAAUCUUGGACAAUCUUUGAGAAUGAGCUGUUCAAGACGUGGUAGUCCGGAAAGGUCUGGAGUUUCUCUCAAGUACAUGGAGUGACUAAGAUUAAGGACUUUUAACCACUUCAAAACCUUUACAAAGAUAGUUUUUGACAAAAUGUUAGAGAAGAAAACGAAAAAUAAAAACAGUUAUAAAAGAAAAUAGUAUUUUUUAUUUUAAUUAAUCUGAGUUUUAAAAGAAAAUGACUACACGUGAUAAAAACCUGAGGUUCUUUCCAGACGAAUCGAAGAAGACUGUGUUUUAAAUCAAUCACCAUUGCAUCUUGCAAAUAAAAGUCUUCAGGUAGGUAUUCUGAAGAAAACCCUUGCAAACUGAUCCAUCUCAGUUUCCCAAAAUCUCUAGUGAGUUUCAGAAGUCUUGAUUUGUCUCUUACUACCGAAGGAUGUUCGAAUAACUCUCUUGUGGCUAUUAAAAACAUUUUCAAAGGCAAUCUCCGAAUGACUUUUGUCUGCUUGGAUGAGAAGAGCUAAGAAAAACAAUAUAAUGCACAUUAGAAAGGAAACACUUCAAAAAGAAGUUUCAAAACAAUAGAUAAAAAAUGUUCGUACAGUAUUCUCUAACAGUUCAUAUUCUGCAUCCUGGCCAAACCGUAGUCGAGGGUUCUUCCCAAGUUCCUUUCCUGAAAUUUGACGAAUAAUUUUUCUUCCCAUUUUUUGUAGCAUCGGUUGUAUUCCUAAUUUGUUGUUCUUUUUCACUUGUAUGAGGCCACGCUCUAUGAGAAUUCUUAUUCCACUAUCAGCAUCUACUCCACAGUCAUUUAGGAUCUUUGUAACAAAGGCUCUGCCUUUACCAACAAAGAAACAACAUACAUCAAGGAAUAAAUCUUUUUCCAUUUCAUUGCGUAAACCAUCAAAGCUUAUUUUCAAUUUCCGAUGGACAUCAUGUUUGUAAAUUUUCUUUAAUUCUAACAAUACAAUCUUCCAUUCUUCUUUCGUCCUUUCA